rnacentral:rRNA from 1 species
CCAAUAGCGUAUAUUAAAGUUGUUGCAGUUAAAAAGCUCGUAGUUGAAUUUCGGGAUCAAUAUGUUGGUCGUGCCUUGGUACGUACUAAUUUAUUGGUUUCUUCCUUCUGACGAACCAUGAUGUCAUUAAUUUGGUGUCUUGGGGAAUCAGGACUGUUACUUUGAAAAAAUUAGAGUGUUUAAAGCAGGCUCACGCUUGAAUACAUUAGCAUGGAAUAAUGAAAUAGGACGUUUGAUUCUAUUUUGUUGGUUUCUAGGAUCGACGUAAUGAUUAAUAGGGAUAGUUGGGGGCAUUAGUAUUCAAUUGUCAGAGGUGAAAUUCUUGGAUUUAUUGAAGACUAACUACUGCGAAAGCAUUUGCCAAGGAUGUUUUCAUUAAUCAAGAACGAAAGUUAGGGGAUCGAAGACGAUCAGAUACCGUCGUAGUCUUAACCAUAAACUAUGCCGACUAGGGAUCGGAUGAUGUUAAUUUUUUAAUGACUCAUUCGGCGCCUUACG